GAGGGUAUAGCUCAAGUGGUAGAGUGUAUGUUUAGCAUGCACAAGGUCCUAGGUUCAAUCCCUAAUACCUCUA
rnacentral:tRNA from 1 species